AUUGCCUAGUUAUCAUUUUAAUAGUUUAUAGAGUUGAUUUAUCUUUCCUGAUUUUAUGAAUGUCUAACUUUUAGAGUUUUAGACUUCAUGGAUAAACAGAUUAGGGAUAAACUACUUAAUGUGUUAGUAAUAGGAUCAGAUUAAAAUUUCUAACAAUGUUCAUAUAGAUUCUCUCCUUUAAUAUACACUACCAUGUCCUAAUAGAUAACAAAUAAUAAGAUAUAAGCCAUCCAUUUAAGAAUUUAAUAUUGCUAUGUACUAUUGACUAAAUACUUAGGAUUUGGUAUCUGUGUUUAACUCAGCCAGGCAUUGAUUAGCAUGUUCAUUGGCAGAAUAACAACUGGAAAGCUGUUUUUAUUUAAAAUAUAUGUCCCAAGAAUUAACUGUUGAUUAAAGAAGUUAAAGCCGUUUUAUUUCUAACUUGACAAUCCUGUUUCCUUGAGAGUAAUUCUUUUAGUUUUCCUCUUUCCACGUGUCUUCUUCAUUUGGGCAUGGUUCUGUUUCUAACAUAAAUCUUGGGAAAUUUCCAUUUUCUGAAAAUUUAUAUAUUCUGCAAUAUGUCGGAAUGAACAUUUAGCAUCAUGAGGAUACAGUUAAUAUCUGUUUUUAAGCAUAUUAUUAAUAUCCUCUAGGGGUGUUUUAGGGGUAGAUCUAUUCUUUCUUGUUCUUUCGAGUUCUUUUAAGUUGUGUUUGCCCAGGCUAGUCUUGAACUAUAAGCUCCAGUAACCCUCACUUAGCCUUUAGGUGAGCUGGAACUUCUUGUCAUUUUUUCCUUGUCCUUACUUUCUUAAAUUCCUCAUUCUACUUCCAUUCUCUCACUAUUCAUCUAUCUAUAGUUUUUAUUUUCUAAUGUAUUCUACUAUUUGGUUCUGGUGUUUAUUCAAUUUCAUAUUUCCUACUUUAUUGAGUAAUUAUUCUAUUCCCCAUUGAAAGGGGCAUUUUAAUGUUUAAAAUCACUGAUUACUUCUUUGGCUUGAUCUUACUGUUUAAAAUUACUGUAUUUUCACUUGCUCUUUUCUAAAACACCGGUGAGAUCCCUUGUAUUCUUGCUUUCUGUUUCUCUUAUAUAUUUAUACUAAGCUAUUUGGCACAUAAAUGUUCCUGGUAUCUAUUCACCAUUUAAACAUGAAUUAUAGAUUCUGUUUUAGUAUGCCCCUAUUACUGGUCUUCUGUUUAGUUUGUGUUGUCUGCCAAGUUGUUUUGAGACUAGGUCUAUAUGGGCAGGAAUGGUCCUGCACACAGUGAUCUUACUGUGUCAAGCCUCCCAUGUGCUGGGAUUAUUUGUGCCAUCAUGCCUUGACACUCCACCUUUUUGUGUAACAAUUAUGGUUACUGCUUUAAAAUAUAUUUUAUUUUUUU
rnacentral:lncRNA from 1 species